UGGGGAAUAUCGGACAAUGGGCGCAAGCCUGAUCCAGCAAUGCCGCGUGUGUGAAGAAGGCCUUCGGGUUGUAAAGCACUUUCGGUGGGGAAGAAAAAUUCAGGAUUAAUACCCCUGAAUAAUGACGGUACCCACAGAAGAAGCACCGGCUAACUCUGUGCCAGCAGCCGCGGUAAUACAGAGGGUGCAAGCGUUAAUCGGAAUUACUGGGCGUAAAGCGCACGUAGGUGGGCAUUUAAGUCGGAUGUGAAAGCCCCGGGCUUAACCUGGGAACUGCAUUCGAGACUGAAUGCCUUGAGUAUGGUAGAGGAAAGUGGAAUUUCCGGUGUAGCGGUGAAAUGCGUAGAUAUCGGAAGGAACACCAGUGGCGAAGGCGGCUUUCUGGACCAAUACUGACACUGAGGUGCGAAAGCGUGGGGAGCAAACAG
rnacentral:rRNA from 1 species